rnacentral:tRNA from 1 species
AGAGAGGUGGCCGAGUGGUCGAAGGCGCACGCCUGGAAAGUGUGUAUAUGGUAAUGUAUCGAGGGUUCGAAUCCCUUCCUCUCUGCAA